rnacentral:rRNA from 1 species
UUUAAAGAGAGUUUGAUCCUGGCUCAGGACGAACGCUGGCGGCGUGCCUAAUACAUGCAAGUUGAACGAACGGAGGAAGAGCUUGCUCUUCCAAAGUUAGUGGCGGACGGGUGAGUAACACGUGGGCAACCUGCCUGUAAGUUGGGGAUAACUCCGGGAAACCGGGGCUAAUACCGAAUGAUAAAGUGUGGCGCAUGCCA